AAAACUGGGGGCUAAUACCGGAUAGGAGCUCCUGCUGCAUGGUGGGGGUUGGAAGUUUCGGCGGUUGGGGAUGGACUCGCGGCUUAUCAGCUUGUUGGUGGGGUAGUGGCUUACCAAGGCUUUGACGGGUAGCCGGCCUGAGAGGGUGACCGGCCACAUUGGGACUGAGAUACGGCCCAG
rnacentral:rRNA from 1 species